GAUGAACGCUGGCGGCGUGCCUAAUACAUGCAAGUCGAGCGAACAGACGAGGAGCUUGCUCCUCUGACGUUAUCGGCGGACGGGUGAUUAACACGUGGAUAACCUACCUAUAAGACUGGGAUAACUUCGGGAAACCGGAGCUAAUACCGGAUAAUAUAUUGAACCUCAUGGUUCAAUAGUGAAAUACGGUUUUUCUGUCACUAAUAGAUGGAUCCGCGCCGCAUUAGCUAGUUGGUAAGGUAACGGCUUACCAAGGCUACGAUGCGUACCCGACCUGAGAGGGUGAUUCGCCACACUGGAACUGAGACACGGUCCACACUCCUACGGGAGGCCGCGGUAGGGACUCCUACGCGAUGCAGGAAAGCCUGACGGAGCAACGCCGCGUGAGUGAUGAAGGUCUUCGGCUCGUAAAGCUCUGUUAUUAGGGAAGUACUAAUGCGUAAGUAACUAUGCACGUAUUGACGGUACCUAAUCAGAAAGCCACGGCUAACUCCGUG
rnacentral:rRNA from 1 species